UGGGAUUCUUUCAGGCCCAAAGGUUCUCUC
rnacentral:piRNA from 1 species